CACCAGAUAGCUCAGUUGGUAGAGCACCUGACUAGAGAUACAGGGGACCUGGGUUCAAAUUUCAGUCUUGUCU
rnacentral:tRNA from 1 species